AAUCCUCUUUUUCCCCCCUUCUUCCACUUCGUGGUUGUCUUCCUCUCAAUCUCGCACCGUCUCCUCCUCAUCUUCCCCUCUCACAUCUCUCCCACAACCCGAUCAUCUUCCCAACGAACGACGCCAGCCUCCUGCCGCUUCCUUCCUCUUCUCGCGCUACCACUGACCUUCUUCUCCUCCUUUGCCUCGGGUCACCAGCCAUAGAGAGCCGACCACCCUUCCUCUGCCCUAGGUUCACUCAGCGUCGCUUCUCUUUCGAUCCUGAUGUUGAUGUCGUGCCGGCACCGAUCCACCAUCGUCGUGCCCUAGCGUCGAUCCACCGCCUCCUCUGUCUGAGCCGCUCUGCACGAGGUGAUCUUCGGCCAAAGGGAAGGAUCCAAGCCUAGUUUCUUUCCCCAUGCCCUAUAUCAGAUCUCUUGACGUCGCUCGAUCACAUCAGUGCCACUUGAUUGAGUUCUCCACCAUAGCAGCCAGUGAUCCAUUAGGUGUUGAGUGUUGUUGGUCAGACAAAGAGGAGGCCAACCUAUGCCAUAGAGGUUAGCAAGUUGAGAAAGUGGGAGGCGCAACAGUGGCUUCAUCGUUGCUCCAACAGAAAUUUCUAGCAGUUGCAUUUCCUGGUCGUGUGCCAACAAGGAGCAACCAUAUUAAGGGAACAUUCUAUGUGGAGGGCAGCACCCUUUUACCUUGCUUCGGUCGGCACUGUGCGUGGACAAUCCAUAGCUCCAACCACAGAUUUUCCAGCAGCAAGAUCUCUGGUAAAUUAAGGAUUCAGAUUCGAGAUGAGCACAUCGAUAUAGAGGUUGAUUAGCUCGAUCUACAUUGGAGGCGGGUUGAGGCUGUUCAGGAGAUUCCAGUCGCUAGUCCCCCACCAUUGCGCGUCGCAACGAGUUCGCACAGUUUGGGUUUUACUUAUUGUGUUAGACUAUGUUUUUUUUUCAGACUUAUAUCUUGACAUUUGGAUCUUUCACGUUUUGUUAUUUGAUGAUAGGUUUUCAUUCUGAUGUAUGCAAGAGUUUUAUGUUUUAUGGGUGUAGUUGAAUAGGAUAUCGGAUUUGUGUUUUAUGAGUGUAGUUGAGUAGGAUAUCGGAUUUGUAUUUUAUGGGUGUAGUUGAGUAGGAUUUUUGCGAUGAUUUCCUUAUCUCUACUUAUGUUUAGUUGGUACUAUUAAACUACGUGGAUGUUUACUAUAUUUGUACUAUUAUAUAUUAUUAUUGUUCCGGUUGUUUUGGCCGAGGUAUAUGUGGCCCUGCGGGCAUUGUAGAAAAUUUCAUAUUAUCACCCUUACAAGGGGAGAUGCUGUCGAAAUUUUCUCUAGCAGGAACUACCUGGGGCAUGACAAUUUAUUUAAUACAGGGGAGAUGAGCACCACUCACUUGACUACCAGGAUUCAUAAACUCUAGUACUUAUCUUGGAGGUAUAGAGUUCGAAUCAUGGGGAAGGCAAAAAUCCACUGCCCAGAGGUGGGAAGACCUAGUGAGUACUGACACGUCGGUCGACGACAUAAGGUGUCACUAGUUGGGCCACCAGUUGGGCCGCCCAAGGGACCGUCAAGGGGCCGCCAGUUGGCCCGCCCAAGGGGCCGAGGGGUCGGGUCGUUACAAAAGUCUAGAUAAAAGUUGUAGAUCUCUAAGUUAUCUACAUUUUGAUAUCUAGAGUAGCCUAUAACUCCAAUUGACUAGAAUGUUAUGUCCAUUUUAUGUUUGGUCCACAGUAUAGGAAAAUUCAGAAUUUGACAUGGCAAUGUUUGAAAAAGACACGGUCAUGCCAAAAAGACACGGCCAUGCAAAAAAGGUAGUGCUAGGCCUUGAAAAAUACUAGAUUGUGCCAGAUUUUCACAUGGUCCUCCAUAUAUGCAAGGCCCGGAUGUUUUGGAGGCUUUAGAUUAUGUUUUAGCUCUGUUUUUGGCCAAAUGUCUUCCAUAUGAACAUACACGUGUUAAGGAACAUGACUAGACCAUGUUUCUUGAUUAAAACUCCAAUUUUAAAGUCAUUUGAAAGCCUUUUCAUUUAUGUAUAUUUCAUGUGUUUAACUUGAUGAUGAGUCAUGGCUAGCCCGUGUUGAUCCUUUUCUCGCUUCAUUCUUCAUCUUUCUUGUUUGUAGAAGCAUGGCCAUGUCAUGGCACAUAGUUAGAGCAUACUCCUUCCUUCAACUUCUCUUUCUAAGGAUUUUUGCUCCAUUUUUUAUCCAAAAAUACGUCUUAUCAAUUAAAAUAAGCAAAGUACAGUUCUUUGAACUAAAAGAGUAAAAAUAAUGAAAUCACAUAGAAAUAGGGUUUGCAAAUGCAAAUCAUGCGUAAGAAAUGCAAUAAGAUAUUUGCUAAAUGAUACAUAAAAAUAUGUAUAACCUACACGCAUCAAUAUAAAAUAUACUUCAUGUCAUGCUAAUAAUUUCUCUGAUUAAAGUUAGACCUAGUACAAGCAUAUCAAUUCUAAUUAGAUAAACGUAUGCAUUCCAUUCUUAAUUCGUAACACGAACUUUCUUAGUUGUAAACUUUUAGCUUUAUUUGUUUUACAGCAACAUCAAAUUGGUAAAAGGGAAAAAAGAAAAUCCCAAUAUUCAUACAAAUUCAUGCUUAACUAGCUAGAUCAACCUUUUACUGGUAUGGGGCAAUAUGUUAUUGUCUAUUAUUCAACUUCAGUAGCAGCUCAUAGGGAUCUGAAGCUAGGAGAUUAAUGCCUAGUCAGUCUAUCCACUGCUUAAUGCCAACAUCCAUUGAGAGAAAAAUGUCCUGUAAUUUUUUCUAGAACUGUUGUUAAGGAUAGGAUUGCAAGUGCCUGAGACACUUGCUAAAGUUACUAGGAGCAGUAGAUUCUAUGCACGAUGAUGCAUUAAAAUUGAAAGGAUUAUACACAACAAAACAACAAAUUUAGAAAAGAUUCUCGAAGCCUAUGUUGUUUUUUCUUUGCUUAUCUUUCUUUUAUUCAUGACAUUGUUUAAUAUACCUACACUGACUUUUCUACUU